GGCGGUGUAGCUCAGCUGGUUAGAGCGUCGGAAUCAUAAUCCGCAGGUCCGGGGUUCAAAUCCCUGCGCCGCUACCA
rnacentral:tRNA from 4 species